CCCUAGUAACGGCGAGUGAAGCGGGAACAGCUCAAAUUUGAAAUCUGGCCCUUGGGUCCGAGUUGUAAUUUGCAGAGGAUGCUUUUGGUGCGGUGCCUUCCGAGUUCCCUGGAACGGGACGCCUUAGAGGGUGAGAGCCCCGUACGGUUGGACACCAAGCCUAUGUAAAGCUCCUUCGACGAGUCGAGUAGUUUGGGAAUGCUGCUCAAAAUGGGAGGUAUAUUUCUUCUAAAGCUAAAUAUUGGCCAGAGACCGAUAGCGCACAAGUAGAGUGAUCGAAAGAUGAAAAGCACUUUGAAAAGAGGGUUAAAUAGCACGUGAAAUUGUUGAAAGGGAAGGAUUUAUGACCAGACUUUUUCUGGGGGGAUCAUCCGGUGUUCUCACCGGUGCACUUCCCCUAGUUGAGGCCAGCAUCGGUUUCUGUCGAGGGAUAAAAGCUUUAGGAAUGUGGCUCCCUUCGGGGAGUGUUAUAGCCUGUUGCAUAAUACCUUGACGGGGACCGAGGUUCGCGCAUUGCAAGGAUGCUGGCGUAAUGGUUAUUAAUCACCCGUCUUGAAACACGGACCAAGGAGUCGAACAUUUGUGCGAGUGUUUGGGUGUUAAACCCUCACGCGUAAUGAAAGUGAACGGAGGUGAGAGCCUUUCGGGGUGCAUCAUCGACCGAUCCUGAUGUCUUCGGAUGGAUUUGAGUAAGAGCAUAACUGUUCGGACCCGAAAGAUGGUGAACUAUGCGUGGAUAGGGUGAAGCCAGAGGAAACUCUGGUGGAGGCUCGCAGCGGUUCUGACGUGCAAAUCGAUCGUCAAAUCUGCGCAUGGGGGCGAAAGACUAAUCGAACCAU
rnacentral:rRNA from 1 species